GAGUUUGAUCUUGGCUCAGGAUGAACGCUAGCGGCAGGCUUAACACAUGCAAGUCGAGGGGUAUAGGUUUUCGGACCUAGAGACCGGCGCACGGGUGCGUAACGCGUAUGUAAUCUACCUUUUACAGAGGGAUAGCCCAGAGAAAUUUGGAUUAAUACCUCAUAGUAUUAUCGGAUGGCAUCAUUUGAUAAUUAAAGUUCCAACGGUAAAGAUGAGCAUGCGUCCCAUUAGCUAGAUGGUAGGUAACGGCUUACCAUGGCGACGUAUGGGUAGGGGUCCUGGAGAGGGAGAUCCCCCACACGUGGUACUGAGACACGGACCAGACU
rnacentral:rRNA from 1 species